UUCCGGUUGAUCCUGCCGGACCCGACUGCUAUUUGGGUGAGGAUAAGCCAUGCGAGUUGAAUGGGAAACCUAAAAAUCCCAUGGCAAACUGCUCAGUAACACAUGAUCAACUUACCCUAUAGAGGAAAAUAACCUCGGGAAACUGAGGAUAAUGUUCCAUAGUUGAAUUGGCUUGGAAAAGUUUUUCAAUAAAAGGGAUAAGGAAAAUGGUUCUUACCUGCUAUAGGAUAGGAUCGUGCUCGAUUAUGGUUGUUGGUGAGGUAAAGGCUCACCAAGCCGAUAAUCGAUAGGGGCCGUGAGAGCGGGAGCCCCGAGAUGGGUACUGAGACAACGACCCAGGCCUUACGAGGCGCAGCGGGCGCGAAACCUCCGCAAUACACGAAAGUGUGACGGGGUUACCCAAAGUGUUCUAUUUAGAACUGUGGUAGGUGAGUAAUGUUCCCUACUAGAAAGGAGAGGGCAAGGCUGGUGCCAGCCACCGCGGUAAAACCAGCUCUUCAAGUGGUCGGGAUAAUUAUUGGGCUUAAAGUGUCCGUAGCCGGUUUAGUAAGUUCCUGGUAAAAUCGGGUAGCUUAACUAUCUAUAUGCUAGGAAUACUGCUAUACUAGAGGGCGGGAGAGGUCUGAGGUACUACAGGGGUAGGGGUGAAAUCUUAUAAUCCUUGUAGGACCACCAGUGGCGAAGGCGUCAGACUGGAACGCGCCUGACGGUGAGGGACGAAAGCCAGGGGAGCGAACCGGAUUAGAUACCCGGGUAGUCCUGGCCGUAAACGAUGCAUACUAGGUGAUGGCACGGCCAUGAGCCGUGUCAGUGCCGUAGGGAAACCGUUAAGUGUGCCGCCUGGGAAGUACGGUCGCAAGGCUAAAACUUAAAGGAAUUGGCGGGGGAGCACCACAAGGGGUGAAGCCUGCGGUUCAAUUGGACUCAACGCCGGU
rnacentral:rRNA from 1 species